UGUCAGCAUAGUUAGGGCUGCACUGAGGAACAGUGCCAUUAUUUAAAUAUUAUCCGUAAACGUGUAAGAAACGAAGCUAUCUGUUUUCAGUUCAGCUGUCACAGGAAUUGCAUGCAAGCAUCAAACUCCAUGCAUGGUCGCGAUAAAUCAGAUCCUGUUUCUGGGACACUCAGGCAACUAGCUGGAUUGUAGGGUAAAGGAAUUACAGGACAUUCACCCAAUGCAUAGCAACCUGCUGCCCCCCCCUCCCCCCCCAAAAAAAAACACAUUCAUAGAUCUUAGGGAAACCUCAUCUGUAUAGGCCAGAGCAAAGAUCCCCAAGAGGAGACCGUAAUCAUCAGAAGACCGACAUCAUCAAACAGGGUCUCAGAUGUCACAACAGGAAGGUACCCAAAAGCCUACCUUUAUCUGACUUGUAAUGCAGCAAUGACCCAAAAACCUCUGCAAAAAUCAAGCUGAGGCACCUCUGAGGUACACUCCAGCAAGGAUGCACACCUCUAUCUGACUGACAAUCCUCAUCGCUAACAGGCAGCCAAGGGGAGGGCGGAGGGGGGAUUCCCGUUGCAAGGUUUCCACCACUCAGAGCCUCCUGCUGUGAUGAGACGCUUGUAAAAGGAAGCUCCCGGAUUUGAUCAGUCUAAUUAUACCUGGUCCAUUGACACAAUUAUCCAGCGACAGGCACCCAGUUACACUUAUUUGGUGAGAUUUCCUCGUUCUCCCGGUUAAGCCGUUUCCGUUUUGACCGACUCCCGCUGAAGCUGUCUGCAUCACGCCCCAGAUCCUGCUCACGUGCCCUUUCACAUACUAUCAAGCACGCUACACAGUUUGAGUGGCUUUCCCACUCAAAUCAUACCUUUUUACCUCUGUUUUGGGUUGUGUACCUCUGUGUACCUCUCUAGCUCAUAUUCAAAAGGUCAGCAACAGAACUUAGUA